rnacentral:rRNA from 1 species
GACCCCAGGCCUGGCAGGACUACCCGCUAAGUUGAAGCAUAUAAUUAAGCGGAGGAAAAGAAACUUACAAGGAUUCCUCUAGUAACGGCGA